AACGGUGACGAUGCGUCUAUGGGAAACACUCGUUCCCAUCCCGAACACGAAAGUUAAGCCAUAGACGGCCGAUGGUACUUGGUGGGUGACUGCCUGGGAGAGUAGGUGGUUGCCGUUU
rnacentral:rRNA from 1 species